UUCUGCUUCCACUCAGCCCUGCAUCCUUCCUUCGACCCUGGGCCCAGCAUCCGGGCACUUCCUGCAUCCCCCAGGCUUUCUGUGUCUCGGAGCCGAGUUCCUUGGUUAGUGACCCCUCCGCACCGCCUUGCCCCCAGAUAGUUACCAGCCUCUCCCCAUCUCUACUGCCUCCGCGGUCUUUCUGCAUUAAAGAGGCUAGUCUCUCAUCUAACGUGCAUGAAUGGAGUUCCACAUAAUGUUGCCAUUCGAAGGGCAACUGCGCUCUGAACUCCUAAGACGCAUUUCUUUCUCUCUCUCCCUUCUGUCUGCCGCGCUUCUCUCAUCCUUCACCCUUUCCUUCACUAUCUGUUUCUUCUUCCCUUCUCUGAGAAUUUCCUGGUGGUCCAGUGAUUAGGACUGUGCACUUGCAUUGCAGGGGGCAGCGGUUUGAUCCCUGGUCGGGAAACUAAAUCAGCAUGCCACUGGGCAUGGUCAAUAUAUAUAUGUAUCUUUUUCCCAUCUCUGAUUCCAGACCCAGGCUUCCUUGACUGCAUUCUUCAUAUGCUUUGUGCUCCCUUUUUCCCCUUCUUUUUUUAACCCAGUUUCCUCUACCCAGGGUGGCCUCCUCUUCCCACCUACUGUUUAUCUUCUUGUCUUCUUGUCCCACCUGCCUUGAUUGCUUCAUCCCUAUUAAUUUUCUCCUCUUGUCCCUACUUCAGGCUCCACCCCAAUCUUUCUCUUUCCCUCAACCUGCUUUCUUGGGUGCUUUCUUCCUCCUCCUCCCUUUGCUCCCACUAACUGCCUCUCAGGAGCCCCAUUCAUAUUUCUCCAUCCACUCCUGCCAUUUCCUAAAAGGUAUUCCAAUGAAAGGUACACAGUGUUUCAACUGUUCAGCUUGAGGCUAUUUCCUGAUUCCUGGUGUAUGGUAAUGCUUUAAUGUGACAGGGAGCCCUCUGCUUGCUGAAGAGGUAUUUAUCUCUUUCCUGUUAGGUUAAAAAGUAAAUUGUAAUUAUGCUGCAGUUUCAGUUGAUCACCAUGUAGGACCUGUCCAUGGAGUGACCAGACGUCAGCUCUCACAGCUACCUAGAGUUGUGUCUGCAUUGGCUUUCCAGAUCCAGUUCCAGAUUCCUCAUUUACUACCUUCUAGUUGAGAACUCUCAAAUCUAGAUCUCCAGCAAAGACUGGAGCUUCUCAUCUGCAUUUCCUCCUUGCUGGACAACUCCACUUGGAUUUCCUUCAGAGACCUCAAAUUCCACCCUACCCCAAAAUAAACUCAUUUAUCUUCCCUC
rnacentral:lncRNA from 1 species